rnacentral:misc_RNA from 1 species
UCCGUGUUGACCACGGCAGUCUCCCACGAGUCCCCGGCUUUACCCGCUGGCAACAUAGGACGAGGGUUGCGCUCGUUGCGGGACUUAACCCAACAUCUCACGACACGAGCUGACGACAACCAUGCACCACCUGUGCACGGCCCUUACGGACCCCACAUCUCUGCGGGAUUUCCGUACAUUUCAAGCCUUGGUAAGGUUCUUCGCGUUGCUUCGAAUUAAGCCACAUGCUCCGCUGCUUGUGCGGGCCCCCGUCAAUUCCUUUGAGUUUUAGCCUUGCGGCCGUACUCCCCAGGCGGGGCACUUAAUGCGUUAGCUUCGGCACGGAGGGAGUCGACACCCCCCACACCUAGUGCCCAUCGUUUACAGCGUGGACUAC